GAAAUUGUUGUAAUAUAUACUGGUUUUGUUAGAACAAGAACUUCUAUUGCCGUCUACUAGAAAGUAAACAUACAAACUUAUGAUGACUACCAUGUGAAUAAAUCUUGACAUUAGAUGUUGUACCCUUGACAGCAUACAACUGCGCACCAUGCAUGGUGACCCUAGGCCCACACAUUGUAUAGAAGAAACACAUGAUUUGCCUAGAUGAACUUCGGAAAUGAAGGCUGAUUCCAAAACAGAAGCAAACUCUUCUUUAUCCAGCUUUCAUCAGUUAGGAGGAUUGCCUUACUCUCAGAGUAGUCUUCUUGAAACUCUCUCUUGCCCUCAUGAGAAGACACUAAGGAUCAUGUGAAAGAGCUCCCUGAGGACAGAUUAAGAGGAGAUGAGUUAAAGCUGCAAAUACCAAGAUUUAAGAUGAAAUUAAGAAUGCUGAUCAGCUAAAGGACCUCCACAUACAAAGGUUAUCCUGGAUUAUUCAGAAUUGACUGUGGAUGCUGGUAUUAUCUAGCCCUAUUUGCAUCACCUUGCGGGUACUGGGGUUUGGAGGAAUUGGCUCAGAUGCUGAUACCGUGGCUACUGCUAUUGUGGUCAGACAUGCCUUUCACCUUCUGCCAUGAUUGUGAGGCCUCCUCAGCCAUGUGAAACUGUGAGUCCAUUCAACCUCUUUUUCUCUAUAAAUUACCCAGUCUUGGGUAUAUUUUUAUCAGCAAUGUGAGAAGGGACUAAUUCUGGUAUGUUGAAAAUAUUUUGUGCUUUGGUGUGUCUUUCCACUUCUAUCAUUCCCCACACCUCCAUGAGCACAUUAUCAUUUCAUACGCCAAUCUACCUGUAGUUUACUGUUUUGACAUAGUUUUCUAAGGGCUAUUUAUUGUUGAUUAUGUUCUCUGAGCUUCGAGUUCCCUUCACUCUAGCUAAAUUCUUCUUACUCUUUGAAAUCUGGUUUAAGUGCCAUUUAUUUUGAAAGCCUUUCCCUAUCUAACCCCAAGAUAUGAUUCAUAUACUCCCUGUAUCUCUCAUCUGAAUACCUCCUUUGGACUCACAAUGUCUUUUGGUUUCUUGAUUAUAAUAUUUAUCACCAUAUCAUGACAUUUGACUCUCUUGUUUAGUUUAUAAAGUAGAGUGAGCCCCUUGAUGACAGGCUCUGGGUUUAUUCGUGCAGUAUUUCCAUGACCUGUAUUACAAAGUAGGCACUCAAUACCUGCUUGUGGAAUUAAUGAUGCUAUGGGACUCCACUCCUAGAAGUGAUCUGUUUUCAUUACUUUAGGAAGUCUGUUUUACCAAGGUGCUUUCUUCACAGUUGCGCUUUAUGGACUCUAGUCAUCAGGAAAUUAACUGCAGAGAACACGCACGCAGAACAUGAGGUUACCAAGGGUCAAGUGCAUGUGCAUGUUUUUGAUUUGGGCACAGGGAAGUUUAUGAGCCUUGUGAGCACAAUUUAGAAAUUCUCAGUUGUAUAUACUGCAGGUGAAAUACACUUUAUGUUGAAGCACGCGGUGAAUUAUUGAGAUUUGGCUAUUAAAGCAAUAGCCUCCUUUUCAAUCUAAGUUGAUGAUGCAAAUGAAAAACACAGCUAAAAAUAUCACUUAUGUCUGAAAAAGCCAGUCCAGAAAAUAAAAAGCAAUUAGCUUGAACGGCUGGAAACAGAUUUUGCCAGGAUCUGUAUUUACCAAUAUUUGAGUACAAUUGGUUCACAAUUUUGUACUUGGGGUAAUAGCAUCACUCAAGCCCAGAAGAGGAAAAUUUCUUUAUGCUAGGUAUUUUUCUAAGCAUUCCCUUUCUUCCCUCUUCUUCUUCCCCUCUCCUUCAAUCAUACACUUAGAAGUCUAUGAUAUAUAAUGUCAAGCAACUUUAAGGACCUAGGAGGAAAAGUAGGGAGAUAAUACCAUAAAUCAAAUAAAGCAGUCUCUGGGCUUAGGCUCUCUAAGUUUGAGUCCCAAAUUCAGUGUUACUGUGUGACCUUGGGGAAGUUACUUACCCUCUAUAUAUCUCAUUUUAAAAUGGGGUUAUAAAGAUAUAUUUUAGUGUUGUUGUACGAAUAAAUGACAUACUUGUAAAUUUCUUAGAAAAAUCCUUGGUAUGUCAUAAUUCUAUUACUCAUUUAUAGUUCUGAGGUCAAAUAUCAGUUUUGACUUUUGUAGAUGAUGAAAAAUAUUCCUUCCCACCUACCUUUCCACCAUGUACAGUGAAAAUUACACUGUCCUAUGAUUCACACCAGAAACAUAAAGAGUUAGCGCCAAGAUCGUCUGUGUGCCCUUUGAUUAAUGCUUCUUAAUACUUGUCAUCUCUACCUCCAUUCUAAAAUCCAACUUUUAGAUUUCAUUUAAGAAAGGGAGUGCCUAUGGCCAAUGAAGGAGUGUAUCCUUUCAUUACUAUUCUGCUUAAUUUCUGUGUCACUUGGUUUUUUUCCUAGAUUGUAUUCUCUCAAUUUCAAUGUAUAGCAACAUCAAACAAAAAAGCAGAAGUAAUUAGGUUUGUCAGUCCACAAGAAUUUUGGACCAAAUAUCCAUGAAGUGGUGGGUAGAUUAUAAUACCUAAUACAGAGUAUCAAAAUGAGUUCUUACAAUCCCACACGUAGUCUCCAUGUGGUAUGAGAUGCCACUGGCCUGAGCUGACGUAGUAUUUUUUAUAUGAAUGAAGGCUGUUCAAGGACUUGAGAAUAAUUUGUUUUAUUAUUUAAUAUAACCCCUGCCUCCAUUUUCUUUAUACUACACUCAGAUCAGUGAUGUCUCCUUUCAUGUGUUGUGUGAAAAGCAAAUUUUAGUCUUGUCUUGAUGAAUUAUAAAUUCCAAGAGUUCAGAGCAAAAAUGAGUAUAUAUGUAUGCUUCUGCACAUGCAUACUUAUGCUUAUAAAAAGUGACAACUGGCCAGGUGUGGUGCUCACACGUGUAAUCCUAGCACUUUGGGAGGUUGAGGCAGGUGGAUCACUUGAGGUCAGGAGUUUGAAACCAGCCUGGCCAACAUGGUGAAACCCCAUUUCUAUUAAAAAUACAAAAAAUAGCCAGGUGUGGUGGUGCAUGCCUAUAAUCCCAGCUACUCAGGAGGCCAAGACAUGAGAAUUGUUUGAACCCAGAGAACGCAGGUUGUAGUUGAGCAGAGAUCAUGCCACUGCACUCCAGCCUGGGCAGCAGAGUGAGACUCCAUCUCAAAAAAAAAUAAUAAAAAAAAAAAUAAAAAAGUGACAACCUGUGGAGACUUCUGUUUGCAAAUGAAAAUGUUAAACUGUUAAAAAAAAUUUUAUAUACCAUGCAAAAAGUAAACCAUUAAAGCUAGUGUUCUACAGAAAACCAAAUAGAUAUAAAAUAGACUUGUAGAAUCUAUUAUAAUAAUGGGUAGAACACCUGAACAAACACUUCAACAGGAUAAAUCUAUUAGGGGAAAUGUAAUAAAAUUUCCCUGUGGGAAUUCCUCUCUAAAUGAAAUUAUCAGGUCUAUUAAGUAAUAAAAGAGAAAGCUUAAAUAUCUAAGACUUUUAAAACUCUGAGAAUAUUUUAGACCAUGGCUAUCAAAACAGAGACUGUUGAACUGAAAAAUGCCUUAUACUGCAGAGAGAACUGGUUUAGAGGGUAGAGGAAAAAUAGUAGAGAGAAACAGUACUUUAUAUAAUUAAUAGUAUGGUAUGCUUAGAUUUAAAGGGAGGGAAAUGAAAGGGUGUACAUAUCCAGAAGCAAAGAAAGGUAGUCUCUUUUUCCAAAGCUGACUCAGUGCUUAUGGAGCUAAGUGUUUCACAGUUGGAGAAGUAGGAAGGCAAACUGCUAAGAGAACUAGGAACUACUCAUGCAUUGUCUAUUCCUGAAGGGUAGAAAGUGGAGUACUCCAAGGGUAUUGCUCUGUGAUCAUUAGGAGGGUUUGGAGUCAGAUAUCCUUGAGGGGGAGUCACCUUCCAUAGUCUGUAGCCAUUGGAAGUGUGUCAGUGCUUCCAACAAUAAAUCCACCUUAGCUCAGCUAUGCAGCAACCGAAAUAGCAUGCUACUGGUACAAAAACAGGCACAUAGACCAGUGGAACAGAAUAGAGAGCCCAGAAAUAAGGCUGCACACCUACGACCAUUUGAUUUUCAACAAAGCUGACAAAAACAAGCAGUGGGGAAAAGACUCCCCAGUCAAUAAAUAGUGCUGGGAUAACUGGCUAGCCAUAUGCAGAAGAUUGAAGCUGGACCCCUUCCUUACACUGUAUACAAAAUCAACUCAAGAGGGUUAAAGACUUAAAUGUAAAACCUAAAACUGUAAAAACCCUGGGAGACAACCUAGGCAAUACCAUCCUGGACAUAGGAACGGGCAAAGAUUUCAUAACAAAAAUGCCAAAAGCAAUUGUAAGAAAAGCGAAAAUUGAAAAAUGGGAUCUAAUCAAACUUAAGAGCUUCUGUUACAGCAAAGGAAACUACUUUACUUACCUAGCACGGGAGAUACUGUGAUCACAAAGGUGGUUUUCCCAGAGUAAGUCUCACCUAUUGCACUCUGGGUAUACUGGCCCCUGUGAUUUUACCAAAUGCAAGAAACUUGACUGCGUAAUUUGUGGUAGUGGGGGGACUGUGUUUGCGCUUUCCCUGUGUAUAUUGUUAAAUAAUUUUUUAUAAUUAAAUUAAAAUGAAAGAAACUAUCAACAGAGUGAACAGACAACCUACAGAAUGGGAGAAAAUAUUUGCAAACUAUGCUUUGAACAAAGGUCUAAUAUCCAGCAUCUGUAAGAAACUUAAAUUUACAAGAGAAAAACAACCCCAUUAAAAAGUGGGCAAAGGACAUGAACAGACACUUUUCAAAAGAAGACAUACAUGUGGCCAACGACCAUAUGAGAAAAAGCUCCACAUCACUGAUCAUUAGAGAAAUGCAAAUCAAAACCACCGUGAGAUACCAUCUCAUGCCAGUCAGAAUGGCUAUUAAUAAAAAAUAAAAAAAAUGGAUGUGGAGAAAAAGGAACACUUACACACUGUUGGUGGGAGUGUAAAUUAGUUCAGCCAUUGUGGAAAGCAGUAUGGUGAUUCCUCAAAGAGCUAAAAAUGGAACUACCAUUUGACCCAGCAAUCCCAUUGUCAUGGGAUCUUUAGGGUGCUGCUUUUCUGGCCAGAAACCUCUGUGGCUGGUGGUGCCUUUGCCUGAGUUUUGCUUGAGCCCACUGGGCUUGUUCUGCCCACUCAGCCUGGCGAGCUGUGCUUGGCUCAUGCUGCUGGCCUGGAUCCCAUCCCUGCCAAGGGUAAGCCAGGCAUGGAGCAGUGAGGGGUUUGUGAGUGAGCAUGGGUUUUGGGCACUGUGCAGUCAGACAGCAGCUACUGCAGUGGGGUGGGCAACUCCAGGUGCUGGCAUGGGCAGCUCCAGCUCUCUGCGAGGCUGUGACUGGACCAGGUGUACUGCAAGCAACUUCCACCGCUGGCACUGGAAACAUGGUGGCACCCAGAAGCUUGGAGAUGCCAGGAACCACAGGGCCCCAAAGAGGGAGUCACAGCCCUGGCUCAGGGAACUCCCAGGUCUGGGCUCCCUGAAGGGCCGCAGCUCUUCUGUCCUUCUCUUCACCCAUGACAUGGUAAGCAAGGGGCAUGUUUCAGCUUUGUUUGUGUUACAGCUCUUUUAUUCCCGCUAUUUGAGAGGUCCUGAGUUCUUGUCCUGUGACCAGGAAGAAUGAGGUACACAGAUAAGUGGAGGGUGAACAAGAAGAGGAGCUUUGUUUAGCAAUAGAACAGCUCAGAGGAGAGCAGCAGUGAGUAGCUCCUUUCCACAGCCAGGGUGGCCCAGUGAGUGUUUAGCUCCUAGCAGAGGGUAGACCUUGUAGUGGGAAGCUCAUCUCAGCAGGCAGGUUGUCCCAUUGUCUCUGAAGCUCUCAAUAGAGAGGAGGCCCUGGAGUGGGUUGCUCCUUUCUGCAGGCAGGUUGUCCUGACAUCUGCGGCUCUCAGCAGAGAGGAGGCCCUGGAGUGGGUAGCUCCUCUCUGCAGCUGGUUGUCCCAACAUCUGCUCACCUCUGGCUGAGCCCAGGGCUUUUAUGGGCCUCAAAGGGGAAGAAGUGAGUACUGAUUGGUCCAUGGGUGGGCAUGGGCAGACCUGGAAAAGGCACCAAAAGUUUCUACUCUGGUCUGCAAGACUGGGUCUUCAGGCCCACCCAUGGCCUGAAGGUGGAGCCUCACUGGGAACCCACCUCCUUCUGCCCAGGAGCCUGUCUGCCUCCCACUGCUUUUCAGGAUCUUCGAGCCAAGGGGCGCCUACAGGCCAGUGCUGAGCUGCCCUCAGCCCCUACCUCGGCUUCCCUCCUAUGCUUGUCAGUGCCCAAAGUCUGGAGAGGGACAAGACAGCAGGGAGCUGGUGAGUCAGAACUGCCCUGAGCAUGUGCACAUCUUGCUGGGCUGUGACAUUGCCUGGGCUCAGCCCUGACUUCGCUCCAAGAUCAGAGUGGGUGCCAACAGCAGGAGAAGCCAGGUAGUGGGAGAAGGCACUUCUGAGCCUGUGAGGGCAGGGUGGGUCUUCCUGGGCCCCAAAAGCACAGGGAGGCCUGGGUUCACAGCUGCUGUUUGGGUGGCUGCAGCCAUGC